rnacentral:misc_RNA from 1 species
AGAUCUACAGUUUUGGAUGGAUGAGCAAUACCUUCUCAACUGUUUCGCACAAACUGGAGAGGUGACCUCUGCUAAAGUUAUCCGUAACAAGCAAAGUGGACAAUCAGAGGGUUAUGGCUUUAUUGAGUUUAUUAGUCAUGCUGCUGCAGAAAGGAAUCUGCAAGCAUAUAAUGGUACCUUGAUGCCUAAUAUUGAGCAAAAUUUCAGACUCAACUGGGCUUCACUCGGUUCUGGUGAAAAACGUUCUGAUAAUGGUCCUGAAUAUACAAUAUUUGUUGGUGACUUGGCAGCCGAUGUUUCUGAUUAUAUGCUUCAGGAGACAUUUAGGGCUAACUAUCCUUCUGUGAAGGGCGCUAAGGUUGUAACAGAUAAGGCCACGGGGCGCACCAAGGGUUAUGGUUUUGUUAAGUUUGGGGAUGAAAGUGAGCAGUUGCGCGCUAUGACUGAGAUGAAUGGACAGUUUUGCUCCACUAGGCCCAUGCGGAUUGGUCCCGCAGCUAACAAGAAGAGUAUGGGUGGUCAAAGUCAAGCUUCGUAUCAAAGUUCACCUGGAACUCAAAAUGAGGACGACCCAUCUAAUACCACUAUUUUUGUUGGGAACUUGGAUUCCAAUAUAACGGAUGAACAUUUAAGGCAGAUUUUUGGACACUAUGGGCAGUUGCUUCAUGUAAAAAUACCAGUAGGCAAGCGGUGUGGCUUUAUUCAGUUUGCUGACAGAAGUUGUGCUGAG